AUAGAUUUCCACUACCUAAAUAAACAAAUAAAAAUAAAAUAAAACACCACUCUUAAACAGAAGCAUAAUAUUUAUCCAUUUUGAUUUGUUUAGAUCAUUCUUACCAUGACCUGUUUUAUCUCUUUCUCAUCUUUUAUACAAGGCCGAUAUAUUUAAAUGCAGUGUUUUAAGAAAUCCUUUUCUUACAACUCAUUAUUGCUAACUUUUCAAACUAAACCUUUUAUUACUCAAAUUUCCAUAUUUUCCAGCUCUCUUCUCUGAAGAAGAAAUGCUGAGGGACAAAGUGCCCUGAGAUCUCAGUAUUUGCAUCUAAUAUUUGUGGGGAGCGGCAAAGCCACGGCUGAGCCAAAAGCAAGCCAUAGAAACAAGUUGUUUGGACUAGAGCAUAGCCAGUCCGGCAGGUGUCUGGCCUUGGUGUUCCUCCCUGUUGACUACACAGCACAGAUCGCUCUAAAAAUGUUACACUUUCAAUGCUCUCAGCAAAACACCGAGACCUUGCACUUUUAACUUCAUCGCACACUUCCCCUCUUUUUACUGUGUGUAAAUAAAGAUGCAGAUCUUGCUGGUUUGUCGCUGCCUGUCCCUCAGAGAGGUCAGGUCCCACUCAGUCCCAAUUUUCCUUUUAGUAUGUGUCUAGUUUUUUCUUAAUCUCCCGUCACUCCCUCUCAGUUCCCCACUGGCUGUGCGGGUCCCAGCAAAUAUUCCUAUGUUUGAUUUUCAAUUUAUUGCAAGGAAAUUAGUUUCAAACUUACCUAUUGUUAAAACACAAAGCAGAACCUAAACAUAACAUCUCUUCACAGUAGGAAGUAGAACAUACAUGUAGAUGGAAACUAUGUGCUAGUCUUUGUUAUUAAUUUUUCAUCCAUAAUAUUGACUCUGUGUAAAGCAAAUGCAAUUAUAGGAUACUGCACACCAAAACAGGUUUCAGUGUUGUUACCAAUUACCAGACUUUCCCCAUAUAUUUAUCAACCAUAAAUCACCAUAAACACACAGCAGUCCCUCAAGUUCCUGCUUUUGUGAUCAGAAAAUUAUUCUUUUUUUAUUCUCUCUUCUUUGUCUCCUGUCCCGUCAGGUGUCUGGAUAGCUACAGGCAAGAAAAAAGCCAUCAAAAGUUGCUUUACUUAAAAAUUUAAAUCAGCAUUAUUUCCAAGGUUUAACCAUCAAAAUGUAAUUAAAAUGUCAAAAUGAUCUCUUUUAAAUUUCUGAUUGAAAUUCACAUACCUUAACAUAGUCUAAGUUUUUCUAAAUAUUAUGCUUCUCUACACUAAACAGAAAAACCAGUAACAUUGUUUUGGGUUCACAAACCAUUCUUCAGUUUCAAAAUAUUUAUUGAGAGUAACUUAAGUUUCUUCUUUGUUGAAGAGUUGAGUGGUUAAGGAUGUAUUCUUUCUGAUAUCAUGCAUGCAUAUGGUUUUUAAAUUCUUGAACAUGUAAGACAAGGAGUGUGGUAGAAUGUUCUUUACAGUGAUUGGUAGCUUCAGAGUCUUACAUUGGAACAUCAUUUAAAUAUGCCAAACUGACUCCCCAUGGAUAUAAUAGUUGUGAAAAUUUGGACAUUUUUCACAUACAACAUUCCGAGGCCCCAGAGGAGGUGAGUGUCUAGGCCAAAAGCAAGAAAACAAGUCAAUAGAAAAAGUGACCAUUAAAAAGACUGAUCUCUGAACAAUGAAAUUUCUGAUCUCCCAAAAAGGGUCACGUUGGGUUUGGCACAUACUUCUGUCCACCUAGUGACAUGCAACCUUAGGUGUGUUGAAUACUCAAACUAUUUAUAUUAUUCAUAUCUGGAAGCACAACCUUUGGGAUGGUGCCAGGGGUUUUGCUGUCGUGGUGUGUCUGGUGUAAUAGUUGGCAUUGUUGGAUCAAGAAAUCUAACUAUUCUUCUCAGGUGGAGGAUCUGCUUCUUUCCCAUUCUAUCUUUGACUCUGGAAAAAGAAAUAUAUGUGACUUGUUCUUUCCCCAAACAAUUGUAUUUUGCUUGUUUAUAGACUGGAAAAUAAGUGAAGGAGCGGUCCUCCCAGUACUGAGGUGCCUAGAUAUCCAGAGGAGAAAAUGAUACAGCUGAAAUAAAAAGCUGCAAAAGGCUUCCUGAGCAUAGCUUACAUGGACAUACAAUUGCCUGGGUGAGGCAGAACAUUGCUCUGGGGAGGAGAUGACUGAGCAAAGCUGCAUCGAUUGUGUUGGAUGGAAGAAUGGAGAACAAGAGAGAGAAAAGGGCCAGGGACAAGAUAUCAUCCUCAGGGACAUGUCUGCAUGGACUCACUCCCUUUAACUAGGCCAAGCCUCCUAAGUCUCCAUCACGUCCCAGUAAUAUCAUCAAAUUAUAACCCAUCAAUGGAUUAAUUCUCUGAUGAAGUUAGAAUCUCCAUUGUCCACUUGCCUUCCAGAAUCUCCAGUUCUAGACAACCCUGCUCUGCAGACCAAGCUUUCAACAUAUGAGCUUAUGAGGGACAUUCCAAAUCCAAACCAUGAGAUAGCUCUUACGUGGCCCGCUAGCAUGGUAUUUGAAAUAGUAUGUUGCUAAGAGUUAAUGCUUAAAAUAAUCUGUUGAAUGAAUAAAUAGCCUCUUUUUCUGUUUCAUAUUUUCUUAAUUAUUUUUAGACAUAUUUUAUUUCUUUGCUCCUCUGUAUCACUUAGGUGACUCUAAUUUUCAUGAAGUUAUUAAGUUGAUAUAGUUGUCAUUACAUUACAUUUUUAAAGAAUAAUCUUGAUCACAUGUUGAGAUUUUAAUAUUUGGUAAAUAAAAAGUGAGUUGAAUAUAUGGAA